rnacentral:lncRNA from 13 species
UGGUUCUAGCAGUCCUCUGUCUUUUCCAAGUCAGGGAAGCUGGAGGAUGGGAUGCAGGUGCUGUUGAGACAUUCCCUGGAGAGGUGUCAGUGCAGCAGAGGGCUUUGUAAACAUAGAGCCCUUGGCAGGGGCCAUUGUCUCUUCCCCCAGUUCAGUUCAGCAAAUACUUACUAAUGACAGUAUGCAGCAGACACAGUGCUUGGUGCUGGAGCAUCACAGAUUAGUGAGUCACAGCCCCUGCUUUGACGAGCUCUCCGGGUUCUGGGAAAGAACCAUUUACAACACGAAGUAGAUGAAAGGCAGGGUGCUAUUUCCCCAGAGUGCACUGGGGAAGGAAGUGACGCAAUGCAUGCUGCCGGGACAUCUGAGGUGCAGGCUCUGUGUAUCUGACCAGCACGCUCCCAUGUAUGCAGCAUGAGUGCUCCAAAGAGCAAAAAUCAAAGAGGUGUGGGAGGGAGGAAACCAUGUGAAGGGAACAGCACAUGCCCAUACGCUGACAUGGAAAGGAGCCAGAGGACCUGGAAUACAACCUGCAUUAACUCACUUAGGAGAGCUGCCUGACCUGGUGAGAAGCCAUCCUUUCUCGAAUGGGGGCUCCCACUGUACAUCUGGCACCCACUUCACAGGCUGGGCGUAUUUAUUUUCUUUUGUCCUCAAAAUUAUUUUGGAAUUAUGACUUGCCGUUAAUAUUUAAAAAGUUAUCGAAUAGAAGAGGAAAGCAUUCUGAAGGUGGGUACAUAGACUGUGGUUAACAGGAGACAUUUAUGUGUUAUUUUACCAGCCCAGAAGUUCAAGUUCUACGAGCUGGAACUGCAAAGGCCUGAGGGCCUUCAGCACUUUGUCAGCACUGACCAAGUGGACAGGGCCACUUCUGCCCUGGCCACACAGUGGCUACACACCUCCCUUUGAAGAAUAUCUGAGGCAUUUUUCCUGCAUCCCCGAAAGAGUUUCGUUCCUAAAAUGCUUAAGAAAGGCUGGGGUUUCCGCACAAUUAUACCUUGUUUUGUUGGAAGGAGAACCCCCAAACCUUUGUAUUUCUGACUUAAAAUUUUGAAAAUACUUUUUAAUGUCUUCACAAGUUCAUAUCAGCUUCUUGCUUGCAAGUUGGCAAAGUUGAUCUGAUUGGUUAAGACAAAUGGACAUAUACAUAAAAGAAGGAUGGAUCUGGAAAGGGUC